AUGGACGAAACCCAACAUAUCUUGGCAAUCGUCUUUGAAGUUCUAACGACGAGAGUAAUGGGAAACACAUCACCAUAUGCUGUUUCAUUUCUCUUAAGGUUUAUCUAUGGGGUUAUGCAAAUACUUACCAAAGCUGCUUUUAACCAAGGUACAAGUACAUACGUCCUUAAUUUCUACAGGCAUGUAAUAGCCACCAUGUUCUUAUUGCCCAUUGCUUUUGCGAUUGAAAGGAAAACCGCCCCACAACUUUCACACAAAGUUUGUCUGAAGCUAUUUGUGCAUGCAUUAUAUGGGAUGUCAGCUUCUCUUAACAUAUCAUGUGUUGGCCAAUUAUGCUUCAGCAGUACUAAAUCUCCUGCCAGUUUUAACUUUCUUUAUGGCUCUUUUGUUGGGGUAUGUGUUUUAAUGAUAAACGCAUUACUUCCUAAUGAUAGAACAUUUUUAUCUUUUCCUUGUGGUAACCAAAAUUUAAAUAUGUUAUCAAACUAA
rnacentral:rRNA from 1 species